rnacentral:rRNA from 1 species
AGGAAUUUUCCGCAAUGGGCGCAAGCCUGAUCCAGCAAUGCCGCGUGGAUGAAGAAGGUUUUCGGAUUGUAAAGUCCUUUCGGCGGGGACGAUGAUGACGGGACCCGCAGAAGAAGCCCCGGCUAACUUCGUGCCAGCAGCCGCGGUAAUACGAAGGGGGCUAGCGGUGCUCGGAAUGACUGGGCGUAAAGGGCGCGUAGGCGGCUUGUACAGUCAGAUGUGAAAUUCCCGGGCUUAACCUGGGGGCUGCAUUUGAUACGUGCGGGCUAGAGUGUGAAAGCGGGUCGUGGAAUUCCCAGUGUAGAGGUGAAAUUCGUAGAUAUUGGGAAGAACACCGGUGGCGAAGGCGGCGACCUGGUUCAUGACUGACGCUGAGGCGCGAAAGCGUGGGGAGCAAACA